UCUCCGUAGGUGAACCUGCGGAGGGAUCAUUACUGAGUGAGGGCUCCGGCCCGACCUCCAACCCCAUGUGAACCGAAACCUGUUGCUUCGGGGGCGACCCUGCCUUCGUGCGAGGCGCCCCCGGAGGCUCAUCAAACACUGCAUCUCUGCGUCGGAGUCUUAAUGAAUUUAAACAAAACUUUUAACAACGGAUCUCUUGGUUCUGGCAUCGAUGAAGAACGCAGC
rnacentral:misc_RNA from 1 species